CUGACUCUGGGUACCUAGGCUGCAAGAUCUGAUAAGACCCACAGCUGAUAGAACCCCACAGUUUUUGUGCAAAGCUUAUCUCUUUCAGCUUCACAACAGCCCUGGGGGCAGUGACCUUUACUGCAGGGUGGGCUGUCAGCCUGGAGCCCCAGGAAGAGCUGGUGUUUUGGUUCAAGAUUGAAGUCUGCCUGCUGCAGAAUGUCAGAGGAGGAAGAGAAUGACCAGAUCUCUAGAAACAUCCUUGGAGAAGCAAUGACUUUAAACUGAAUCACCGGGGCUUCCCUGAUGGCAGAAUGGUUAAGAAUCUGCCUGCCAAUGCAGGGUACACGGGUUCGAACCCUGGUCCGGGAAGAUCCCACAUGCUGCGGAGCAACUAAGCCCGUGCGCCACAACUACUGAGCCCGCGAGCCACAACUACUGAAGACCCCGUGCUCUAGAGCCUGUGCUCCACAACAAGAGAAGCCACCGCAAUGAGAAGCCCGCGCACCGCAACGAUGAGUAGCCCCUGCUCGCUGCAACUAGAGAAAGCCCGCGCGCAGCAUUGAAGACCCAACGCAGCCAAAAAGAAAAAUAAAUAAAUAAA